rnacentral:rRNA from 1 species
GACGUAGGGCGCGAGCGUUGUCCGGAUUUAUUGGGCGUAAAGAGCUCGUAGGCGGCUUGUUGCGUCGGCUGUGUAAUCCCGCGGCUUAACUGUGGGUUUGCUGUCGAUACGGGCGGGCUGGAGUUCGGUAGGGGAGACUGGAAUUCCUGGUGUAGCGGUGAAAUGCGCAGAUAUCAGGAGGAACACCGGUGGCGAAGGCGGGUCUCUGGGCCGAUACUGACGCUGAGGAGCGAAAGCGUGGGGAGCGAACAGG